rnacentral:rRNA from 1 species
UACGAAGGGGGCUAGCGUUGUUCGGAAUUACUGGGCGUAAAGCGCGCGCAGGCGGCUAUCCAAGUCAGUGGUGAAAGCCCGGAGCUCAACUCCGGAACUGCCAUUGAAACUGUUUAGCUUGAGGACGAGAGAGGUGAGUGGAAUUCUCGGUGUAGAGGUGAAAUUCGUAGAUAUCGAGAGGAACACCGGUGGCGAAGGCGGCUACCUGGACGGCUAUUGACGCUGAGACGCGAAAGCGUGGGGAGCAAACAGG